rnacentral:rRNA from 1 species
UACGGAGGGUGCAAGCGUUAUCCGGAUUCACUGGGUUUAAAGGGUGCGUAGGCGGGCAGGUAAGUCAGUGGUGAAAUCUCCGAGCUUAACUCGGAAACUGCCAUUGAUACUAUUUGUCUUGAAUUAUGUUGAGGUUGGCGGAAUAUAACAUGUAGCGGUGAAAUGCAUAGAUAUGUUAUAGAACACCGAUUGCGAAGGCAGCUAACUAAGCAUAUAUUGACGCUGAGGCACGAAAGCGUGGGGAUCAAACAGG